ACCAAGCUAUAAUAUAGAUAACAUAGAUCAGUAAAUUCUCAGUCUCCAUCCACCUCAUAUAAUAAAGUACUCAUCUCCGCCCAACCCUGCCCUCCAUUUAUCUCUCUCUCAUAUCAUCACUUAAGGGACUAAUCAUGGUUCCAUCUUCUCCGCUCAUCAUCAUGACUACUCUACCUUCAUCAUCAUUUCCUGGAAAUGGAGGCCAUGAAAAGGCGAAAGCCGCUGCAGCAGGAGCAAGAGAUAAGGCCAUGAUGCAUGACCAUGAUGAUGGCGGCCCGUACUCCUCAACUUGAAGUCGAGGAAAACAUCAAUCCGUUUCUUGACUUUCUCUCCAUAAAAGGGGAAUCAAGCCUGUUGGUCCGAUCAUAUCAUAUUUUCAGACUUCGCUUCUUAAUUUAUAUCCUUGGAUCUGCAUGCAUGUUUUCUUUCACUUCUUCAGGAUCUCAUGAAUGUUGAUUGUAGUUUUCUUAAUUUUGUGUGAUCAAGAUUGAGUUUUGUUAUUAUUUCUCAGAUCGUAUCUGUCACGGACAUGGCUUUUUAGUCGUUGAUUAGCUGGACAAAAAAGCCAUCAAAUCUAAACUCUUCAACCAUCUGGCUAUCCCAAGACGUAGCAUAGACGG